GACGAACGCUGGCGGCGUGCCUAAUACAUGCAAGUCGAACGCAGUGGGGACGGGUGAGUAACACGUGGGUAACCUCCCAUCAGAGGGGAUAACCCUUGGCAACAGGUGCUAAACCGACAUUGCUGGAUGUACCCGCGGGGCAUUAGCUAGUUGGGGGGGUAACGGCUAACCAAGGCUACGAUGCAUAGCUGGCCUGAGAGGAUGAUCAGCCGCACUGGGACUGAGACACGGCCCAGACUCCUACGGGAGGCAGAAGUGGGGAAUAUUGGGCAAUGGACGAAAGUCUGACCGAGCAACGCCGCGUGAGUGAAGAAGGUUUUCGGAUCGUAAAGCUCUGUUGGUAGAGAAGCGGUAUCUAACCAGAAAGCAACGGCUAACUACGUGCCAGCAGCCGCGGUAAUAC
rnacentral:rRNA from 1 species